ensembl:lncRNA
CCCGCCUCGCCCUCUGCUGGUCAAAAGGUGGCGUUGCUGGCUCACCGUUGUUUGUGUAGAACUGUCCUGCAACGUCCAUUCCACCCCAUUUCCUUGUAUGGUGGACCUCGGGCUAGAGAGAUAGAUGGUUCAUUGCAGAUGGUUCCAUCCCAGCACUCACAUGGUGGCUCACAAGUGUCUUCAAAGCCAAUUCUGGGGAUCCAGUGCUCUCCAAAGACACAGGCCUACAUUAAGGUAAAACACCCAGACACAUAAUGAUAAUAAUAGAAGAAAAAGUAAAAUGUAACACCAAGAGUGAGAUCACUUUGUAGCCUUGGCUGACCUGGAAGGUACCCUAUAGACCAGGCCAGGCUGAUCUUGAACUCCCAAGAGAUCUGCCUGUCUCUGCAUCUCAAGGGCUGAGAUGAAAAGCCUUCACCACCAUACCCUAAGUUGAUCACUUCUUUAGGGUGAUGUCUAAGCACUCUGAUGAGGUACUGGACUGAGCUCCAUUCUAUACUUCGUGUCCGUGUGUGUGUGUGUGUGUGUGUGUGUGUGUGUGUGUGUGUGUGUGUGUGUUGGGAGGGGAUGUUUGUCUAUAUUAGCUACUCUAAUGUAGACCCUGGAACUGCCUUAUCCUCUCCCCUCCCCCUACGACAGGGAGGCCUUCCCAGGGGCGGCUGCUUUUGCUGCCUGAGCCUGCUGAACUCCUGCUGCAGCUGAGCCAUAGUUUCCGUCUGCUGCUGUAGCAGCAAGCUGGGAUUUGUAGCACUUGGUUUCCACUGUGAUACAGUCUAGCCUUUUCUCCCAAGGUGGCCUGAGCCUCUCCCAGCUCAUGUGAGACAAGCACAGGACACAGAAGCUUAAAGACCAUGCUGGAAACACCCAGCAAGACUGGUUCCCUUAUCUUCUGAUGGCGGCGCCUCCAGCCUCAGCCUCCCUGACAUGGGUUUGCUCAAGUCCCUUCCACAGUGUUGUUUCUCCACCUCUCCCUGCAGCUGCUUUUGGAUCAGCUCUGUCAUGACAGCUGACAGCCUCCUGGGGGUGGAUCGCUGGGCUUCAAGCUCUGGAAGGCACCGAGCUCCCCAUAUUGGCCCUGCAGGAAGGACAGAACUUCUAUGCAGCCCUUUGAGCACCACAGCCUCUCCUCAUCCAGAAGAGCCACUCCCUAGGAAGACCCCAGAUCCUCCAUCCCAAACACUCUCACUUAUUGGUUGAAAAGUAGUAUCCCCUGGAGCAUGCAGCUGGGGAGCCCUGCUUCACAGUCAUCACCCUGGGGAGCCAACUAUUCAUCGCCCUGUGCUCUCAGAGCUUCUGGAAGGAUCCAUAAAUCACUCACAUGUCAAUUGUGCACUUAGUAAAAAAAAAUUUUUUCCUCCGAGACAGGGUUUCUCUGUGGCUGUGGAGGCUGUCCUGGAACUCGCUUUGUAGACCAGGCUGGCCUCGAACUCACAGAGUUCCGCCUGCCUCUGCCUCCCGAGUGCUGGGAUUAAAGGCGUGUGUCACUGCUGCCCUGCUGUACUUAGUAAUUUUUACCUGGACAGAAUUUUCACUCUGCCCUUAGUUGACGAAUUGUGAGUAGGUUGCUGCAAGCACCUCUGAAGGUCCUGCUAGUUGCCACAAUGCAGCCUGCCCUUAAAGAGAAAGGCAGAGAGUGGCUUUAAAGGGCUAGUGUAGAGAUGAGUCCUGGGAAGCAGAACUACCAGAUAGCCGAGGGGCUGUCCUAAAAUGUGUGUCACAUGCAGUUGAGACAGAUGUAUGUAUUUAGCAGGCCCAUUCCCUGGAGGUUCCAAGAGCUGGAGACACAGAUCAGCAACCCUAAGAGGCAUGGAGAGGGUGGAGCAUAGUCAAUUUUGUGAGAAGCAAUCAGUGACCAUCCAAAAAAUUCCACUGUGAAAAAUGACACCAAGGGCUAAAGAGAUGGCCUGGUGGGUAAGAGCACUUGCUACUCUUGGAGAGGACCAGAGUUCAAUUCUCUGCAGUCGUUUCAGGCAACUCAGGAGCUCCCUGUAACUCCAGCUCCAG